UACGUAGGGCGCAAGCGUUGUCCGGAAUUACUGGGCGUAAAGCGCGCGUAGGCGGACCUGCAAGUCGGGGGUGAAAGCCCGAGGCUCAACCUCGGAACUGCCUUCGAUACUGCGGGUCUCGAGUCCGGGAGAGGUGAGUGGAAUUCCUAGUGUAGAGGUGAAAUUCGUAGAUAUUAGGAAGAACACCAGUGGCGAAGGCGGCUCACUGGCCCGGUACUGACGCUGAGGCGCGAAAGCGUGGGGAGCAAACAGG
rnacentral:rRNA from 1 species